UACGGAGGGGGCGAGCGUUGUUCGGAGUUACUGGGCGUAAAGCGCGUGUAGGCGGCAGGGCAAGUCUGGUGUGAAAGCCCGGGGCUCAACCCCGGAAGUGCAUUGGAAACUGCUCUGCUUGAGUACCGGAGAGGAAGGGGGAAUUCCCGGUGUAGCGGUGAAAUGCGUAGAUAUCGGGAGGAAUACCAGUGGCGAAGGCGCCCUUCUGGCCUCUACCUGACGCUGAGGAGCGAAAGCCAGGGGAGCGAACGGG
rnacentral:rRNA from 1 species